rnacentral:rRNA from 1 species
UACGGAGGGGGCUAGCGUUGUUCGGAAUUACUGGGCGUAAAGCGCACGUAGGCGGAACAGAAAGUCAGAGGUGAAAUCCCAGGGCUCAACCUUGGAACUGCCUUUGAAACUCCUGUUCUUGAGGUCGAGAGAGGGGAGUGGAAUUCCGAGUGUAGAGGUGAAAUUCGUAGAUAUUCGUAGGAACACCAGUGGCGAAGGCGGCUCACUGGCUCGAUACUGACGCUGAGGUGCGAAAGCGUGGGGAGCAAACAGG